CACCCCGGGCCGACCGGCUCGGGGCUGUGCCCGGCUCGGGGCUGUGCCCGGCCCGGGGCAGGUCGAUAAUGGCAGCAAAACGCGGUUACCUGAGGCAGAAGGUACGACUUGAAGCGACAGCAGAUUCUCUUGAUGAUGAUGUAGAUGUGGCUGAAGAUGAUCAUGGGUGGAGGCAGGACAGGCCUGUCGUGGAAUGUCAUGAUCAGCUGGUACCGCUGGAACUUCCACACUUGGUUGGAUAUUGAUUUUACCUCAAAGAAGGUAUUGCUGAAAGGAAACAUGGGGACAGUUGCUAUUAGGUCCCUAAUUUUACUUAUCAUUGAGCAAAUACUCUGUUGAAAAAAAGCAGCAGCUAAAUAACAACAUGGAGCUACAGGACCUGCUUGGUUCAGCUCCUUGUUGGUGCUACUGAACUGACAAUUAACUUGAACUCAUGAUUUCACCACUUCUUCUGAGGGUACAAACAAGAAGUGCUCUGCAUCCCUUAUGCACCACCCAGAACAGUCCUCCUCUGGGAUCAUUUGCUCCUACUGUAUAAAUCCUUUAGGUGUCAGUGAAAAGAGACUUGCACAAUUUAUGCAUCACAUAAUUGGUAUUCUGGGGCUUGGUUAUGAACUAUUUCUUCUACCACAUGCCAGUAUUUGAUGCUACACAAAGUAUUAAAUCCCUGAAAAGUAUUUUUUAUGCUAAACUCAGAAGCUGCACAUAGUUUGCCUUUAAUAUGUUAAUCAGCUUGACCUACAUAGAAGACUUUUCAAGUUUCACAAAAUGUCCUAAAUUUAAACUUUAUUCACUCAAACUUCUGACUUGAAAACAUGGUGCAUAUUCUUGUAAAGGAAUUUAUUCUUGGAAGCCUCAUCAUUUUUACAGCAAAAUAAGGUGUGUUGUAAUGAUGGUUUAUUUUGAAAUUCAGUGAAUAUGAAGCAAUAUAAGUGAUAGUAUUCAAUCCAGAGAUAACAAUGGUCACAGUUAUGAAAUACCAACUAAGGGAAAACAGACUUGAUAUUCUGUCAUAGAAAAAACUUUUCGAGCUAUUUUAAAGUAUGCUCAGACAGCUCACUCCACUUGUAUGAUGGUGAUGAUAUUUGCACUUCCUUUUUUAUAUUUUCUGUCCACUUUUCUAACUUCAUGUUCUUUAGAAUAUCUCCAUUCAUAAAACCAGUUAAAACACCUCUCUGAAACCAAAGAAUUCCUGUGUACACAGAGCUUUUGCUUUCUUUAGGUUAGGUACACAUGAGAUUAUUUACCAAUGAUAAAUAACAAUCUGGCUUCAUUCUGUGUCUCCUUUCUAGCAGGAUCCCAGCCCCCUGCACCUCGCUGGCACGGCAGGAGUUAACAGCAUGACCUACUUCCCAAACUGCUGAUUCCUUGGUCCUUCAGCCAAUAAUAGCUCCCAUUGUGAGAUCCUUCCCUUCUCCCCCAGCUAACUGACUGGCAUUCCAGCCCUUUGAAAUUCCUGACCUUUUAAGCUCCAUACAUCCAAUGAAAGACAGGCUUUGUGCUUGUGACACCAGCUUCCUAUGCCAACAGGCAAAAAUGGAUCACCUGCUUUUCUCAGGUGCUGUGUUCAGAAAGUAUUACCAGCAAGUAGUUAUUCCUUUUUUUUUUUUUUUAAUCCCUAGGUCAUGAGAGGAAAUCCAUGCAGUAUAACGUAGGUAGGAAGAACAAGCUGCAGAAAUGUAUGUAGUUUUACUCCAGAGUAGUCUAAAUAUAGAUACAGAUAAAUAUAGAUAGCGCACACUGCUUGGCCACAGACCUUGGCAACAUGUAGCCAUCCUUCCUGUUGGUUCAGGCAAUAUAGACUCUUUUUUUAGGUCUUAUAAGAAUUCUGCAAGGCCCUAAUUUCUUUUUCUAAAUUAAAAACAAAACAGGAAGAAUGAAGAAAAAACAAGCCAGAUGGUGUAGUGGGAAUGCCUCCUGCUUUGGGUGCUGAGAUUUUUGUGCUGUUCUAUCACAGAGUCAGCAGCCAGUGGCUCCAUGGGCUUUAUCCUGUGCAUAGCAGGUUUCAUGGAUUCUGUUUCUCGUCUUUCCAGAGCAAUCUUGAGGCCUGUCAUUACCCAUUAAAAGGUGUAGAAAAGAAGAACACUGGUGAUUCAUGAAAUGGAAACAUCCGUGAAAGCAGACAGAUACAUGAAUGGGAGUAAAAAUGUAUGAGCUCAUUGCCUGUGCUGUGAGUUGGAGAUGAAAGGAUAUGUGUAUUUUAACCUCCUGUGCAAGGUAUUUAUUUUUUUCUUCUUCUGUUGGAACUAUUAGUAAAACUUUGGUUCAAAAGAACAUUUCAAAAUGAUUUCUGUUGAUCCCUGCAAGUAAACAGGGAUCUUAACGCUGUUAUACUCUCGGACAGGAGAAUAAUCCAGACUAUACCACUUUCAGUGUGAACUGAAUUUGAAUAUAAACUGAGAGGCAAGACAUGCAGGUGGGGAACAGAAAAUUGUUCAGUCUCAGGUGUGUCACAAGAAAACAACAACAAUAUAACCAUAAAGAGAAAACACUACUUCCAAAUUAAAAGAAAAAAUCUUUAAUUUGGAUCUGAUCAUCUGCCUCAGAAACAGGAAACAGACUCUUACUAUGAAUUCUACUCUUACGGUCUAUCUGGUCUGCGAACACCUCUCCGUAGAUCAUCCAGUAGGGCAUGUAGAAGAUGUUCCGGGCCAGCCUCCAGGAGGGCUCCUCGUCGGGGUGCAGGAUGGCCUGGCGGGCCACCCCGAAGCUCAUCAGGACCACAAGCAUGAUGACCACGAAGUAGAGCAUGUCAAUCAUCUGCAUGGACAGAGCACAGGAGGCUCUGGUCAGCCCUGGGUGGCACAGCAGCACCAGCAGGGCUGUGUGCCAGCACACAUGGAAUAAGGGAGCACCAGGAGAGAAUCUCCCUCACAGUGACUUUCUACUGCUCAUGAAUUAAGCAUACAUAAAAAUGCAGAAAAACCCAGCUGUUUAAAGGAGUAAUAAUUAUAUUUAUUAUUUUAAUAUUAUUUUUAAUAAUUAUUAUUUUAUUAUUAUACUUAAAAUGCUAAAGUCUUUGCUAUCCCUUUCUCCUUGAUAUCAAGUGCACUAUGCUGUGCUCUCAGCACAGACCUCUUCUGUGGUUGCACAGCAACUGUUAGAUCAUCUCUUCAUCAUCUCCUGCCCACAGCUGAUGGUUUUGUGGGCGAUCCUGGUGUAUCUGCAGUCUAUUAUUGCAAGAGGUACUAUAUCUUGAGUGUGUGUGAAAUUCACAGGGCAACUUUUCACAGGCUUUAUUCAGAGUCCUACUCGAUGGAAAACCUCCUUCUAAAUCAGAAAGGAAUUUAGUUUCCCAUGAAGUUCUGAAAGACAUAAUUUAUAGCAAUUCAGGCACUAACCAUCUUUCCAAUCAUCAUGACGUAAGGUCCCAGAUAUUUGUUCACACCAAAGAUAUCUAGUACUCUAAUGUACCAGAAAAUGAUAUCUACGCAGUAAAUCACUCUUCCAUAACCCAUGUAAGGCUGGUUCUGUAGGCGAAGAAUUGCUCCUAUAAUAAAUACUGAAAUAGCCACCAGGUCAGUAAUAUUCCAGUAUUCCUGGAGCCAAACUUUGACUUUUUGGCUCAGCUUGCCUGGCUCUGACAUCAGAAUCUGAAAUAAAAAACAAACAAACAAACAAACAAAAAACAUUAAAAAAAUCAUUUAACAAAGAAAUCAUUAGAAAAAACUCCAACUUAAUAUUUUUGAAGUAAUGUUCAUGAAAAAAGACCAAUCUUGUCAUGUGCAACAGGUGUCUGAGACCUUGUCAAUUGUCAGAAAAAUUUAUUUCAAGCAAGAAUACUUUUAGUUACUGGCAGACAAGAUUUCCUUUUCAUAGAAUCAUGAAAUUAUUUGUAUUGGAAGGGAUGUAUGAAGAGCAUCUACUCCAAGCACCCUGCCAUCAGCAGGGACACCUCCCACUAUCCCAGGCUGCUCCAAUCCCCAUCUAACCUGGCCUUGGACACUUCCAGGGAUGGGGCAUCCCCAGCUUCUCAGGAAAACCUGUGCCAGGGCUUCACCACCCUCAUUAAAAACAAUUUCUUCUUUAUGUCCAAUACAAAUCUACUUUCUUUCAGUUUGAAACUGCUGCCCCUCGUCCUGUCUCUACAGGCCUUUGUAAACAGUCUCUCUCUGUUUUCCUUACAAGUCCCUCUCAGCCUGUUUCCACAGCAGAGCUGUUCCAGUCCUCUGAUCGUUUUCCUGGCCCUCCUCUGAACCCCCUUUUCAUAUUUGUUCCUAUUUUGGCUUUAUUGAUUAAAACCUUUUUUGCUGUAGGUUUUAAUCAAUAACAUCUAAACCAGGAGAUCUGGCUGACUGUCUUGGCAUUCAUAUUUGUCUCCAAAUACAGUUGGUAUGAGACGUGGGAAUUGUGAAUUGGAGAAGGACAGGCCAAGUGCAAACCACACCACAGCACGUGAGCACUGCAGAAGCUUUUAUGCUUUCUUCUCACAAAAGUAAGGGGCUGAGUCAGAGAGUACUGGCCAAUUGCCCCAAACACCUCUCUGCUGCAGCUCUCAUCCAGGAUCCCACCAGUAAUAACAGACAGGACCUACUGGGAUUCCUUCAUGGGUUAUGGCCCUGCCCCUCCUCAGAAAUGCAGAGCAGAGUGACAACAUUACUAUUCACUCCUGAACACAGGGCACUUCUGCCUGAGCUCUUUGCCCAGUAAGAGAAGGGUUUAAUGCAUGGAAAUGGGUUAUAGAUGGGUCAUAACUCUGCAGCGAUGGGGCAAUUUGGAACUGUGAAAAUGAGAAUCUUCUCUCUCAUAUUUGGUUUCUCAACCCUGAGCACAAGUCCAUCCAUUACCAACUUCCAAGAGGGAGCUUCAUUGUAAGGGCUGUGAGAUGUUGGUAUGGUCAGACUUUACCUCUCUUACUUUCUCCAAAGCCAAGGUCACAAUGUAGGAGAUGACAAUCCAUUCCUGGACUGAUGGCCACCGUUCCAUCCGCACCAAGAUGAUAUAAUUAAAUAACAUCAAGUAACCAAGAACAGGAACCAGGACCUUUUGGAAAGCAAAAGAAUCCAGCCUAGUCUGGAUGGAGUGACUGCAUUGUGGAGCUUGCACUGACGUUGGGUAUGAUCGGUCACACAGAGCCUCCUUCAAAGCAUGUAGGAGCUUCAGAGACUGACAGCAUAAGCUUCAGUUAUUCAUUUUGUUUCACUGUCUAUGACUUUUUCUCUGAAUAAAGGGAGUGCUUUACUCAUCAGAUCCCAUGGAAGUUAGUACUAUUUAUUUAUUUAUUACUUGGUUCUUAUUUUUACAUUGAAAUCCUUUUGGUUUCACAGGUGUGAGAGAAAUGAUCACUAUCCAUUUAAUCAUCAUGACUUACUGUGUAGAACCAAAAUU